rnacentral:misc_RNA from 1 species
GAUGAAGAACGUAGCGAAAUGCGUUAAGUAAUGUGAAUUGCAGAAUUCAGUGAAUCAUCGAAUCUUUGAACGCACAUUGCGCCCGCCAGUAUUCUGGCGGGCAUGCCUGUUCGAGCGUCAUUACAACCCUCAGGCCCCCGGGCCUGGCGUUGGGGAUCGGCGGAGCCCCCCGUGGGCACACGCCGUCCCCCAAAUACAGUGGCGGUCCCGCCGCAGCUUCCAUCGCGUAGUAGCUAACACCUCGCGACUGGAGAGCGGCGCGGCCACGCCGUAAAACACCCAACUCUUCUGAAGUUGACCUCGAAUCAGGUAGGAAUACCCGCUGAACUUAAGCAUAUCAAUAAGCGGAGGA